rnacentral:rRNA from 1 species
AAACUGCGAAUGGCUCAUUAAAUCAGUUAUAGUUUAUUUGAUAGUACCUUACUACUUGGAUAACCGUGGUAAUUCUAGAGCUAAUACAUGCAAAAAAAUCCCGACUUCUGGAAGGGACGUAUUUAUUAGAUAAAAAACCAAUUAGGGCAACCUAUUCUUUGGUGAUUCAUGAUAACUUGUCGAAUCGCAUUGCUUUACGCAGGCGAUGGUUCAUUCAAAUUUCUGCCCUAUCAACUGUCGAUGGUAGGAUAGAGGCCUACCAUGGUGUUAACGGGUAACGGGGAAUUAGGGUUCGAUUCCGGAGAGGGAGCCUUAAAAACGGCUACCACAUCUAAGGAAGGCAGCAGGCGCGCAAAUUACCCAAUCCCGACACGGGGAGGUAGUGACAAUAAAUAACAAUCCAGAACCUAUGGUUUUGGAAUUGGAAUGAGUACAAUUUAAAUCCCUUAACGAGGAACAAUUGGAGGGCAAGUCUGGUGCCAGCAGCCGCGGUAAUUCCAGCUCCAAUAGCGUAUAUUAAAGUUGUUGCAGUUAAAAAGCUCGUAGUCGAAUUUUGGGCCUGGCUGGUUGGUCCCGCUGAAAGGUGGGUACUGGUCCGGUUGGGCCUCUCCUUCUGUGAAACCAUCGUGCUCUUAACUGCGUGCGGUGGGGAUACAGGACUUUUACUUUGAAAAAAUUAGAGUGUUCAAAGCAGGCUUAUGCCUGAAUACAUUAGCAUGGAAUAAUAGAAUAGGACUUUGCUUUUAUUUUGUUGGUUUCUAUAAGUGAAGUAAUGAUGAAUAGGAACAGUGGGGGGCAUUAGUAUUUAAUCGUCAGAGGUGAAAUUCUUGGAUUGAGGAAAGACUAACUUCUGCGAAAGCAUUUGCCAACGAUGUUUUCAUUGAUCAAGAACGAAAGUUAGGGGAUCGAAGACGAUCAGAUACCGUCGUAGUCUUAACCAUAAACUAUGCCGACUAGGGAUCGGA